rnacentral:rRNA from 1 species
UGGCUCAGGAUGAACGCUGGCGGCGCGCCUAACACAUGCAAGUCGAACGGCGAAGUCCCGUUCGGGGACGGAACAGUGGCGGACGGGUGAGUAACGCGUGAGUAACCUGCCCUUAUGAGCGGAAUAACGUCGGGAAACUGACGCUAAUACCGCAUAACGCACGGAAGUGGCAUCGCUUCCGUGCCAAAGAUUUAUCGCAUAAGGAUGGACUCGCGUCCCAUUAGACAGUUGGCGGGGUAACAGCCCACCAAAUCAGCGAUGGGUAGCCGGACUGAGAGGUUGAACGGCCACAUUGGAACUGAGAGACGGUCCAGACUCCGUACGGGAGGCAGCAGGUGGGGAAUAGUUGGGCAAGUGGGCGAAAGCCUGAACCCCAGCGACGCCGCGUGAGCGAAGAAGGUCUUCGGAUUAGUAAAGCUCUGUGUACAGGGACGAUAAUGACGGUACCUGUAUAGAAAGCCACGGCUAACUACGUGCCAGCCGCGGC